AACUACUUGAGGAUGCUUGAAACUGAAAGGAAGGUGCCAGUGGAAUAAGGGAGGAAGAUCGUGGACAGUAGGAGGGUAGUCCCUGAGGAGGAUGGAAGAGACUGGAUCCCUCGCACAGGGGAGGAAUUAGCCUUCAGAAGCUAAUCUCAUGGAGAGGUCAACUGCUGAGAGGGAAAUGGGAAAAGGAAGCGAGAAAAGUUUGAAGAGCACGAAGAUUUGAAGUGGCUACUGGAAAGAACUGGACAUACUGCUAAGCAGCACUGAGGACCGAGACUAUUGCUUCGUCUUGAACUGGAGGACAUAAGGCAGCCAUCUACAGGGCCCUGGAAUACAAAACAAUGAGUCCCCACCUGCAGAGCGGCUGCUAAAUAAUCACAUUGAGUCAGUUGCUACAGUGAAACUUGAAACCUGAUCAUUGAAGAAGCUUGCAAUUUAGCAGAAAACAAGGUACACCAGGAUCUUUCACUUCAGCUGCACCUUGAGGAUUCUGGUCUCUUUUUGAAAAUGCCCUGACAUGUCUAGUUAGUUUCGUUGUUAUAAUCCUUUCCUUAAACAAGUUUGUAAAGUUGUUGUAUUUUAAGGAAUAUUAUACUUAAAACUCCUAGGUAACUCACUAUAUCUUAUGAUAUAAC